GUGGUGCUUCUCCUCCUUCUUGUAAUCGACCUCAGGCUCCGUGAUGGUGGUCACUUCGGUGGUCUCAGCAUAAGCACCAUCAGGGCCACUGCCGUAGGCAGCGCCACUGCCGUAAGCGCUAUCAGGGCCACUGCCGGGGCCACUGCCAUAGGUGGUUUCACUGCCAGGGCCACUGCCGUAGGUGGUUUUACUGCCAGGGCCACUGCCGUAGGUGGUCUCACUGCCGUAGGCGGUCUCGGAGUAGUUGACAGCCUCAACGGGUUGCUCAUCCUCCUUCUUGUGGUGGAAGAGGUGGUGGCGGUGUCCUUCGGCCAUGGUUGGCGGUUGUUCUUUGUGGGAUGCUAGAAUUGACGAUGGAUUAGGGAAAGGACUCUUGAUAGCUGAAGUGUAUGGUGAAUGCUGUGAGAUUGUUUGAGAGGGAGGGAUGUAUUUAUAGGGAGAGUUGGCACAUGCAAAGCCUCACAUCCAAUCGGGCCAACGUGGGAGGCUUUAAAUGCGUGAUGGACGGUCAGGAUAGGUUGGUGUGGUUCGAUUCGAUGCAUCUUUAUCUUCUUUUGAUAAAGCCGUUGUUUGAAUGUCAAGCUAGAAAAAAGAAAUAGGGGAUAAGCUUUUAUUUUUUUUGGUGUUGGAGUUGAAAGAAAAUUUUGAAUAGAUGAAUAUUUAUUUGGCAAAUAAUUUUUAUGAGUUGGAACGGAAAAAGUGAAAAUCUUAAGGACCUUCCAAUUUGGUUAAAUAUUUAAUGUAAUGUGUUGAGAAUAUGUUUUGAAUGGUUUUUUAUUCAAGGAGUUUCCUUCUCUUGAUACAAAAUAUUUGGCUAACGAUUUCUUUUUGACUUAUGAAAGGAAAACAAUGAAAAAUCUUGAGAAUAUGCGAAUCUUAUAAAUAUUUAAUGUAACAUGUUGAGAAUAUGUCUCAAGUUUGAGUAUGUAGAUAAAUACAUUCCAAUCUUGUGGUUCUAGUUUGAUUGAUUUUCUAGUUUGAGUAGCUCUCCUAAAUGGAGUUUCGUCUCUUGGACACAAAUUAUUUGGCAAAUAAUCUUCCUAAGUUGAAAUGGGAAACGGUGAAAAUCUAGAGAGCAUUUCAAUAUUGUGGAUAUUUGAUGUAACCAGUUGAAAAUAUGUCUCGAGUUUGAGCCCAUAAAAGAAUCUCAAGCCAAGUAAGUUUCUUAGUUUAUGUAGGUUUUUUAAUUUGAGUGACUUUUCUAGAAAUCGUUUCCUAUUUUGGAUACAAAUUAUUUAGUGGAUAGUUUUUGUGAGAUGGAAUGGGAAAUGGUGAAAAAUCUUGAGAACAUUGUAAUCUUGUGAACAUUUAAUGUAAUGUGUUGAAAGUAUCUCUCCAGUUUGAAUUCAUAAAAAAAAACUCAAUCCAAAUAGGUUUUCUAAUUUGAGUUAAAAGCAAUCGAAGCUUUCAAAUAAGCACGUAUAUCUGUGGUGUUCUUAUCUUUUUUCGUCAAUUUCUCUGAUAAUUUCUUCUUCCCGCCUUAAGCUUGAAAUGAAAGAUUCAUUAACUUUUAUAAUGCAACUGUAGGAGUCUAAAGCUCAAGAUGAGGCUUCAUUAUGGUGUAGGUGGGUGGUUGUGACUUACUAAUUAAGGAACCCCAAUCGCAUGAGCGUGCUCUGCAUACACUAUUGAUUGAAGAUCUAAUGAUAGGGUCUUCAAUCAAGAAAAAACAUACUUUACUUAACACGUCGUUCAUGAUUUCAUACCGACUUAAUUUUCAUUUUUGCGAAGGGAUUUUCUCCUUUUAGAUGCUUUAAGAAUAACAGAAUACGUUAAAUUUUCCAUCAUUGCAAUUCCAUUUUUUAUUGUUCUUCUCCUGCUGUACUCUUAGAUUGAUAAGGCGCAUGGGUUCAUAUCCAUAUGAAUUUCUCGGGGCAAAGCCCUAAUUUAGCUAGAUAGCACAGCUGGUUUGUAUAUGCUCCAUCAAUGCAUUUCCUAACAUCUUGUCUAAAUAUACUAACAUGUGGAAUAGUAGCAAUAUGUUCUUAGCACACGAUCAAUUAUCUAGUUCACAUUUUACUUGACAAAUCUGUUUCUUAAUGCCGACCGACCUCUAAAUUUAUUUGCUUUUAAAAUUUAUCUUGGUCCAGCACAAAUCUAAAUCAACUCAAAUAUCUGACUGUGCCAUUGAAAUCUUUAGGACGGUUAGUAGCUCCCUCCCAUGUGAACAGUUUUAUGCCCUUUGUUCUGUCGAUUUUCACUUGCCGACACCAUCUAUUUUAUUUAUUCGUUUGAUUCGGUUGAAAUCCCUUCAUUUCAGAUAUGGCAAGUGGUGACACCUAUAUGCAUAUAAAAUCAAUGGGUUGAAAUUUUCUGGUGGUGCUCAGAAGGUGGACAUAAAUAAAAAAUAAAUUAAUAAUUACAUAUAAUAGAUGAUUGUUUAAUCAUGAAAAUUGUUAGGUUUUCCUCAGUAGACAAACGGGUAUCAUUCCACAUAUUUGGUAUGUACAUUAGGACCGUUUCCGAAAAAAAGAAAAAACUGGCAUGUGAUUAAAAAGUAGGGCCGAGCAUGGUCCGGAUUGGGCCAAUCCACCCCAUAACUUUAGGAUCAACCCGCAUAGUACUAGUUCUCAAUUUUUGGAACUGAGGAUCAAUCCUAUUAAGCUUGGAACCGAGGACCGGUCUGGUUCUAGGAUUAAUCCAAGACCAACUGAUAAAUUUUUUAUUUUAUUUUUGCGCUCCUUGAAAAGGCAACCGAGGACCAAACAAACCCAAUGGGUUUACUUUGUUUCUAGGGUCAACCAAUAUUUUUUAUUUCAAUUUUUUGCACUCCCUGAAAAUGUCGCCGAGAACCGGACUGACCCAAUAAGUUUGAUGACAAGUGAGGUCAGCUAAGACAGGUGAGUGGCGAGCGUCGAGCAUUGAGCGGCAAGCAACAUGAGUAACCCAAAGCGAGUGAGGCGAGUAGUGAGCGAAGAAAUUGUUUCUUUCGAUUUAGACAAAUUGAAAACUAAGAAGACAAAUAAGAUAGAAGAAAACGAGUAUUGGAUGAGGAUGCCGCGAGGAGCUAUUUAUGUCCUUUUGGACACGAGGACUUUUCACAAAAACAUUUUCUUCAAUUGUAAAUUAUGGUUGUUGAUGUCAUAAAAGACAUUAAAAAUCUAAGUUAUUAAAGAACAGUGUAAAAUUACUUGAACUUCUCACUAAGAAAUUGUUUAAUGUUGUUAAUGCUGUUUAUUUUAAAAUUUUCUCUAUAUAAAAAAAUUAUAAAUAAUAUUAUAGAUAUAUAUAUAUAGUGUUAGGGUUAAUUUGGGUUAGACCAACCUUGAACACUUAGAACCGAUGAUCAACUCGCAAAGUGCUGGUCCAAGAAUCCCAAAACUAAAGACUGACCUAAUUUUUCUAGAAAUCGAACUAAGAUCGGUAGGGUUAGGUCAGUCCCUAAAUCGAUGCUCAUCCCUAUUAAAAAUACAUUACCUAUAAACAUAUUAGCAUAUGCCAAGAUCCCAUUAUUAUUGGGUCCCACUUAUCUAUUUCCAAAGUAGAGGGCCCCUCCGAUUUUGUGUUUGGUUUGACAGGAUCAGUGGCUGACGUGACAAAUAUCUCAAUUUUUGUGGCUAUCCUUGCAAAACUUUUUGGUCCUGGCUUGCACGUACUAUUUAGUGAUUGGGGAACUAUAUAGUUUUCUUAUAUUAUUUUAUACUUAUUGCAAAAGAGGCAGAAAAGAAAAGAUCACAUUUCAAAUCCCUACACUUUAAAGAGUUUUCACGACAGGCCCCUUUAUUUUAUUUUGCCUUAUAGAUCCUACUUCUCACGCUUUUCUCUAACCACCGUUUAAGUCAUUCCUACAUAUUUUCACUCAAAAUCUGGUGAAGAACAUAUUGGAUUCAGGACUCGCAAUCAACAAAUAGUACCUUACGUGUAAAAAUCUUUGCGAUGUUCAAAUCUUUUCCCAUCUACUUUGAUUGACUACCCUGUAUAGUGAAAUAAAGGUUCAUUUACCAUGAUGGUGGUUGGUCUAGUGGAGUAGAGCAUACUCUCGAAUGGUUUGAAAUCCUCUAGUCAUAUGUAUGAAUCCCACGGUUCCUUUGAAGCAUUGGAUUGGCCAUGAUAUAAGAUGAUUCUAGCACUAUAAUGGGGAUGAAGGUGACGGGUUUGCUCAAAAUGAGCAAGAGUUAUGGCUUAAACCGAACAUUUUGUUAUUGAAAUAACAAUUAUAGUGAAAGUUAAGAUAAAAGAUAACAAUUUCCUCUAUAAAGAAAUUGAAUAAAAGACAAAUAAGAAAAUAUCUCUAAAUGAUCAAUUCGUUGAUACUUUGUUUGAUUUGUUAUAUUCAUACUGAUUUGUAGAAGAUUUUGCACUGCAAACAUUAUUAUUUUUUCCCUUUCUAUUUUUACUUCAAUAUUUGUCGCAGGCAUGAUAAAACUCCUGUAAUAACACCUGUAGAGUUGCCGGCCAACAUCGGUUUAUCAUUUCAAAUAUAGGCAUCACAAUUAUUAGUUCAACAAAUUCUGUCAAACUUUCAAUGUCACUUUAACAAUGAUAGAUAAAGAACAUACCGUCAGUUUAUGAUUUCAAAUAUAGUUUUGGUGCGAGAUCUAUUCUCAAGGUGUUGUCAAAAGCAUCUUCUAGGUCACGUAAAUAGAAAGUACACUGGGCGGUGGGGGGGGGGGGGGGGGGGAUAAGUCUUGUAAGGUUAUCCUAACCUGCCCCUCGGAUCCGUCGCCAUAGCAUGUAUGACCAGUCAGUUCUACCCUCCAUCAAAGCUGAAAAAAAUGGUGUUCACUAUUCAAUGCCCCGAGGAAAAUUUGGAAAAAAAAACCCCGACCAUAUUUGGGUAUUAAAACCUCCACUUUCUUGUAGACCAACGCGAAUUACAGUAUGAAAGGUGAAUCUCAGAUCCGAGAAAUGUGAACGGAGUGCAGUCGGGUUUUAAACAGGGCAGCUGGUAUCGGGUGAGAUAUCAACUGGACAGGGAGGAUUUCGCUUUCAAGACUUUCGCAUUCACUGGAUACGUUAAAGCACCCCCAAGACACGAAAGGCGAAGACGGGUCCUUUGCUUUCAUGGAGACGUAAAAGUGGACGGUGGGCGGGUCCAUUGGAAUGGCCGUUGAAGUUUGAGCUUUGUGUCGGCAAGAGCAUAUCUCAUCCCCCUUCGUAUAUUCUCUCCCCUUUUUUGUUUUUUGCUUUUUUGUUUUUUAAGUUUUAGAGUUGCCUUUUAAAGAUAAGAUUUGAUUGAUUAAGAUAAAAUAAAAAGUCCCAUCAUUUGUUCGAUUAAACUAUCUACCAUGUCCUAGAUGUAUAUAGCCAAAAACAUAAAUAAUAACAUUUCAAGUAGCUACUUUCUGUUAAAAAAAAAGUAGCUACUUAAAAUAGUAAAGACAGAAGAAAACUAAAGGGGAAAUGGUGGAUGAAGGAUCACCGUAGUCUCGGUGGUCGACCCACUUGUUAUCAAUUUCACCAUUGUGGUUGCGUAUCCGCUGUGACCAUCGUGAUGGUCGGGUAUUAAUGCCAACCAUCAUGACAUUGUUAGGACACGCGGUAGAAGAAUGAUGCCUUCAUAUAAGGAGAUUGUCAUAGUAAAGUUUAAGUUCGGGCUUAUCAAUGUAUUUAGUUGGACCACAUUUAUCUAAAAGUUUAAAAUUGGCGAGUCAUAAGCUAGUUCAGAUAUAUUAAUUGUUUUACAAUACAAUAAAUUAGUCUAUCAUGCAACACUUCCUUAAUCCACUUUAUACAUGGACCUCAACAGAAAUUGUCUCAUGUAUCGUGGUGGUGAUUGACCACCCCUACAAUCCAAAAACAAGGAGAGGGGUACCAUGAUGGUCGUUCGAAAUGUGUGACGUUUACGAUGGGGCCCACUGUGACCAUUGUGCGAUAUUUCGCUUGGGUGAGAUAAUUGACCACUAUUGCUUGGAUAGGCUGUCCAAGAUUCUAUCAUGACUUAUUCGGGCUAAUCCCAAUCCGAAUACAUCUCCAAACUCACGAUAGAAUAAUUUUUCUUCUAUCUAAUCUUUUAUUCGAUCUACAAUACAUACCUUUGGGAUCUGAACUCCUAACACCAAUUGACAUAUGAAUUGGCAUGGUUUAAUAGGUUAAGAAAAAUGUUGCCAAGUCCAAAAUGGUAUGAACAUAAAAUACAUAAUAUAUUUAUGUGUUCAAUAUGAAUUUUAAGUUUUGUAAUGACUUAAUGUGACAUAAUCCGAAUUUACGUACACGUAAACACUAAAAUCUAACUCUUGACUACUAGAUCGAUGUACUUGUAAGUGGUUACUAAUCACACACCAUACAUGUAUUUCAUCAAACUUCCUCUAAAGCUUACAGCACAUUUGAUUAUAGUAAUCACCGUUACCUGACGGGUGUAUCACAUGUUGAUUGCCAAUUACAAUGUUUGCUUGUGGUAGUAGCUAUUAUAGUGUGACCAUACAUUCAUUUUGUUUUUAUUUUCUUUAAGUAGGCAAGACUAGUCUUCGACCCGUUAAAUAGGUGGGUUGAGCUGAAAAUGGUUUGACCAAAAUCGACUCAUUUAACUAGUUUUCACCAAUCACAUGCAAUACAAAUUUAAUUACUAAUACCCAACUCAUAUUGCUAAAACACUUCCAUAUUUAACUAAAUCUAAAAAAACUCAUAUCUAGAUUGAGGUGAGAGUGCGGAGCAAGUGAGUGUAAGAUCGAGUGAGGAUAAGAGAGAGUGAAGAGAGAGUCAUAAAGGUGAGUUAGGUCUAAUAAUACUGUGAACUCAUUUAACAUUCAUAUUAUUUUGGGUUUUACCAUUCUAAACCCAUCUACUAAAUAACUAAUAUAACAACUCAAUCUAUCAAAUUUAUGUUAAGAAAUGGGUCUACGACCUAUCUUGACAAAUCUAACUAUUUUUAGGAUGUCAAUUUAAUAUCAAGUGACAUGGAUUUUGACAAGUUUAUGUAAGAAGAUAUCGUCAGCUCCACAAAUGACUUGAUUUCAAAAUGCAUAAGCAUAAUAUUUCAAUUAAGCUACAAAGUAUUACGAUGACGCUACAGUACAUGUCAUAAUUCUAAUCUGGCAUGAAAAUACCUUUCGUAGGAUGUGUCACUUAAAAUCUUGUUUAUGCAUGGUUGGGACUUAUAAAUAGAGCCAGAUCCUAGUUAUGCAAUAUACGAUUUGGCAGCCUUCCUCAAAUGCUUAUUUUGCUUAGCCCCUUUCAAAUGGGAAAUUAUCAACUCCAUCACCAGCACAUACGUCCGGUGGAUGUGAUUUAUAGGUAUUGUGGCCCCAUAUGGGACCCACACACAUCCAACGGACGAUGGGCCAAUUGCACUUACUGCACCCAAAAUACUUUCCAUGGGAGAUUUGAUAUGCGUUUGAUAUGAGAAUCGACUAACAUUGAAUUCAUGAAGCAUAAUCCCGUGAUGGUAUAUUAGUUCCUGGGAAAUUUAACACCUGUUCAUAAGAUUCUCUAUGCAAAAAAAUCGUGUAUUCGUAUACAAAUGUUACUGUAAAAUUGUACUGAAAACUGGCAGGACGGCUUUAUUUGGAUGGGCUUAGUAGACCAUCAUCAGUUAAUAAUUUCUGAGAGAAUGUCCGGGAUAAUUUGGGGGUUAAUUGUCAGACAAUUCAUUUAUGCCUUAACUUGUACGCGUCAGCAGAAAACAUGUCAACUGCAGAUUGGCAUUGAUCUCCAAUUCAUUUGGUGCACGGUAUGACGUACCAAGUGGAAAAAUCUUCAGCAUGGACACCUGGCGCUGUCUCGACCUUUGCAUAUGAUCUCCCAUAAAAUAUCAUCAUGAAUCGGUGGGAGGUAGUUGAUCCCGCGAAUCUUCUUCCAAAAUAUAGAUUAAAGAUUGUUGUUGGAUGCUAAUCCUUCUUGUAUUUGCUGUUCCCGUCCACCGUAUGAUACAUUAGGCACACGCGCUUCGUGGAGAAGAAGUGAGAUCCCUUAGGAAAUUACGAAAUCAAAUUUAAUUAUACUUUAAUCCUUUAAAAAGUUGAUCCACCUCUUUAUCCAUUUUCUUUUCUUUGUCCUAUCCCCUCUUUUCAUUCUUGACCUUCUCCGAGUGUACGUGGAUGUCUUCCAAUUGAGCCGCGACAUCGAAUGGGAGGUUGCCCGCCACGGGAAACCCUGGCCCGAGUUUGGGGCCACCACUAAAGCGAGUUGCCCUGGCCUUGUUUGCAUCGGGGCUCGGGAGGCGGGAGGGAGAUGGAUGGAUCGGGGACGAGGCGUGACGGUGGAGUCCGACGACUCCGGUAGCUGGAGGGACCGCAAGACAUCGACCAUGUCAGGGCGCGGUGGGCUAUGCACAGGGCAGUAGAGUUUUCAUUUGGGUCUGGGUAUGUUCUUUUAGAAAUGGCGUGUUUUUGUUACUUUGAGGUAAUUUAUAAACUGCUAAAUCUAAAUGAACAUGAAUUCUCACGUGAAACAUUUAGCAAGAGAGUUCUCUUUCCAAGACAAACUCACGCCAACUUGAUGUUGCCGAGUGCCGUUUCAGGAAAGAGAGCCCUCAUCUAAAAUACGUGACCUUGGCGGUGAAAAUGGCCCGGGCAGCGUCGUCGUCCUAGUGCAAAUUGUCCCACCGGUCACGAUGCACAUAGAAUUCUUUCAAGCUUCCCCGAGCGCUGUUCGAGUCCAACGGCAACUUUCCAAGAUGGGGGCACUCAUAUAUGAUGAGUCAUUCCAGCUGAGGAAAAGGUAGAGGCUGGUCAUAAAUGCUCGUUAGGCUUGGAAGAUACGUAAUUUGUAGGAUUUCAAGACAUGAGAAUAGUCCUAAAGUAGCCUAUUCUUUCGCCGCAAAUCCAUCCCCCAUGAUUUUUCUCCAUUGAAUCGCACUGUUGGACCAUCAGUUCUCGGAGUUACGGAGCAUGCUUGAACCAGGACAAGUCUGACAGCUCGCACCCUUCGACACAAACUUCAAUGAGACUAGAGAAGCAAGAGCAGUUGGGUACUCAUCGUAUUCCUUGAGUAAUCUCCACCUCCUUGAGUACAAAGCAUUUAUCUAGAUAGAGGACCUCUAAACGCAAGAAACAGCUGUUGCCUAUUGGUGAGUAAUUGAUUGGGAUGCAAGUCAAGUCAUGGCAAUUGGUGAUCCCCGCUAGCCUUAUGCCUCUAUGUAAACUCAGAGAUUGGAAUAUUUUCAAGGGUAGAGAAAGACUUGAACACUUUGAUAGAGAAGUCGAUAAGAUGUUGCAUGUGCUUUAGUUCCUCUACAAUCUCUUUUUCCUUCACUGGAAUUGAUUUCACUAAAUGGAAACUCCACUAGCUGAGCACAUUUAAUGGCAAGCAUGCAAUUGCCCCUAUCAGAAUUAGGAAUGGGUCAACUACAUCGUUUAGUAGCAACAAUUGUAAACAAGUCAAGUUCUUGAUUUCCCUAGGCAACUCAACAGUACCGGUGGUUGAUAGGUUCAAGUACCGUAGAUUAAUUAGAUCGUGAAUCCCUUUAGGGAAUGAAUAUAUCUAUUAUCAUAUAGGUUCAAGACUAUUAGACGAGUUGUCAUCAAGUCAAAAAAAAAAAACCUCUUGGCACAAUCAUUGCUUUUGUUCCCCUACAAACAAAGUUUCGAGCUGGGAACACAUGGGUGGUAUUCGGUCAAUAUCAUGAUCCAUUUUCCCCAUAGAGAUGCUUUCUCUACUUCUUGCCGUUUUGAGAUCAUCUUUGUGGAUAUGUCUUCAUCUUUCUCCAUCACUAGCAACUUGUUCUCCCUUUGCCCGCGGUCACAAACGAUCUGGGUCGCCAUGUCGCAAAUGAUAUCGUGCAUCUUUACAUACCAUCGCUCAUCAUUACUAUGCCCAUUUUCCAAUAGACAAUCCCUCUUUAAAUCCCCCAAGAUAGACUCUCCCUUGUCCCACAUACAGUGAUUAUCAUUAGUGGCUGUUAGCAAGCCUUCUCCAAUCUAGAGUUCAAUGAGAUCAUCUAUUAUUAUGGGGUAAUCCUCAUUAAAGAGACAACAGUAAAGGAAGCAAGAGUUAUUUAAGCUAUUAUAAUUGAACUCUAGUAUGCGGUACACUUCCUCCACCAUACCUGAUAGGUUGUGUGAAUUGUUUCUUAGCAUUGUUAGAGCAUGCCUCCACUCAUGAGGAUUGUCUUUUUGGCCAUGGCUUGCCCGACAGUAAUAAGGGUGAAUGGUAAUUCUUUGCAGUCUUCGACAAUCUCCUUUGUGAGAUCUUAAAUUUCUUGAUGGUAAUUUACAAGUGAUUUGUUGAUGUUCUUCUCGAGUAAUUUUAGAGCUUCUUCAGGUGUCAAGCACUGCACUUCUAAGGUUUUGUGGGCUCCCAUUUGGUUACAUGCAUGCUUCAACUGAGUUGUGAACGCUACUUUGGAUCUGUUCUUUGGACCAAGAUGAGGAACUUUGAUUUUUGAAAAGUUCCAGCCUUCACCAUAUAUAAUCAAUCAAAAACACAAACUUCACCUUGGUCAAAACAUGACACCAAUGAUGGACCCUCUCAUCCUGGGACCAUCGAUCCCAGCUCUCAUCUUGAAUAUGCAGCCUCUUUCUCAUGGUGUCUUGAAUGCUUUCUUCUUUCACUUGUCUAGACACCACCACC
rnacentral:lncRNA from 1 species